UACGUAGGAUCCAAGCGUUGUCCGGAUUUACUGGGCGUAAAGGGUGCGCAGGCGGACUUAUAAGUCAGUGGUGAAAUCUCACAGCUUAACUGUGAAACUGCCUUUGAUACUGUAGGUCUUGAAUUAGGGAGAGAUUCGUGGAAUUCCGAGUGUAGCAGUGAAAUGUGUAGAUAUUCGGAAGAACACCAGAGGCGAAGGCAGCGAAUUGGCCCUAUAUUGACGCUCAGGCACGAAAGCAUGGGGAUCAAACAGG
rnacentral:rRNA from 1 species